rnacentral:lncRNA from 8 species
CGAGACAGAGACCAAGACAGAGACCUAGACCAAGACAGAGACCAAGACAGAGACCAAGACAGAGACCUAGACAGAGACCAAGACAGAGACCAAGACAGAGACCAAGACAGAGACCUAGACCAAGACAGAGACCAAGACAGAGACCUAGACCAAGACAGAGACCAAGACAGAGACCAAGACAGAGACCAAGACCAAGACAGGGACCAAGACAGAGACCAAGACAGAGACCAAGACCAAGACAGGGACCAAGACAGAGACCAAGACAGGGACCAAGACAGAGACCAAGACAGAGACCUAGACCAAGACAGAGACCAAGACAGAGACCUAGACCAAGACAGAGACCAAGACAGAGACAGAGACCAAAACAGAGACCAAGACAGAGACCAAGACCAAGACAGGGACCAAGACAGAGACCAAGACAGAGACCAAGACAGAGACCAAGACCAAGACAGGGACCAAGACAGAGACCAAGACAGAGACCAAGACAGAGACCAAGACAGAGACCUAGACCAAGACAGAGACCGAGACAGAGACAGAGACCAAGACAGAGACCAAGACAGAGACCAAGACAGAGACAUAGACAGAGACCAAGACAGAGACAUAGACAGAGACCAAGACAGAGACCUAGACCAAGACAGAGACCAAGACAGAGACCUAGACCAAGACAGAGACCAAGACAGAGACAGAGACCAAAACAGAGACCAAGACAGAGACCAAGACAGAGACCUAGACAGAGACCAAGACAGAGACCAAGACAGAGACAGAGACCAAGACAGAGACCUAGACCAAGACAGAGACCGAGACAGAGACCAAGACAGAGACAGAGACCAAGACAGAGACCAAGACAGAGACCUAGACCAAGACAGAGACCAAGACAGAGACCAAGACAGAGACCUAGACCAAGACAGAGACCAAGACAGAGACAGAGACAAAGACCAAGACAGAGAUCAAGACAGAGACCAAGACAGAGUAAUAGUCCAAGAAAGAGAGCCGUACCAUAUCUUCCUAUCUGUCUAACUCCUAUCUACUGUACAGUCUCUGUUUAUACAAGAAUACUAUCUCAGUUGUGUCUGU